GUCGACGAGCUUCCGUUGAAUGACGUGCUUGCACUGAUUUCAACAAUGAAGCGAGUGGCGAACUGGUGAGUAACACGUGGGGAAUCUGCCCAGAAGCAGGGGAUAACACUUGGAAACAGGUGCUAAUACCGUAUAACAACAAAAUCCGCAUGGAUUUUGUUUGAAAGGUGGCUUCGGCUAUCACUUCUGGAUGAUCCCGCGGCGUAUUAGUUAGUUGGUGAGGUAAAGGCCCACCAAGACGAUGAUACGUAGCCGACCUGAGAGGGUAAUCGGCCACAUUGGGACUGAGACACGGCCCAAACUCCUACGGGAGGCAGCAGUAGGGAAUCUUCCACAAUGGACGAAAGUCUGAUGGAGCAAUGCCGCGUGAGUGAAGAAGGGUUUCGGCUCGUAAAACUCUGUUGUUAAAGAAGAACACCUUUGAGAGUAACUGUUCAAGGGUUGACGGUAUUUAACCAGAAAGCCACGGCUAACUACGUGCCAGCAGCCGCGGUAAUACGUAGGUGGCAAGCGUUGUCCGGAUUUAUUGGGCGUAAAGCGAGCGCAGGCGGUUUUUUAAGUCUGAUGUGAAAGCCUUCGGCUUAACCGGAGAAGUGCAUCGGAAACUGGGAGACUUGAGUGCAGAAGAGGACAGUGGAACUCCAUGUGUAGCGGUGGAAUGCGUAGAUAUAUGGAAGAACACCAGUGGCGAAGGCGGCUGUCUAGUCUGUAACUGACGCUGAGGCUCGAAAGCAUGGGUAGCGAACAGGAUUAGAUACCCUGGGUAGUCCAUGCCGUAAACGAUGAGUGCUAAGUGUUGGGAGGGGUUUCCGCCCUUCAGUGCUGCAGCUAACGCAUUUAAGCACUCCCGCCUGGGGGAGUACGACCGCAAGG
rnacentral:rRNA from 1 species